rnacentral:rRNA from 1 species
CCUACGGGAGGCAGCAGUGAGGAAUAUUGGUCAAUGGACGAGAGUCUGAACCAGCCAAGUAGCGUGAAGGAUGACUGCCCUAUGGGUUGUAAACUUCUUUUAUAUGGGAAUAAAAUGUUCCACGUGUGGGAUUUUGUAUGUACCAUAUGAAUAAGGAUCGGCUAACUCUGUGCCAGCAGCCGCGGUAAUACGGAGGAUCCGAGCGUUAUCCGGAUUUAUUGGGUUUAAAGGGAGCGUAGGUGGAUUGUUAAGUCAGUUGUGAAAGUUUGUGGCUCAACCGUAAAAUUGCAGUUGAAACUGGCAGUCUUGAGUACAGGAGAGGUGGGCGGAAUUCGUGGUGUAGCGGUGAAAUGCUUAGAGAUCACGAAGAACUCCGAUUGCGAAGGCAGUUCACUGGACUGCAACUGACACUGAGGCUCGAAAGUGUGGGUAUCAAACAGGAUUAGAUACCCGGGUAGUC